GUCGUCAGCUCGUGUCGUGAGAUGUUGGGUUAAGUCCCGCAACGAGCGCAACCCUUAAGCUUAGUUGCCAUCAUUAAGUUGGGCACUCUAAGUUGACUGCCGGUGACAAACCGGAGGAAGGUGGGGAUGACGUCAAAUCAUCAUGCCCCUUAUGAUUUGGGCUACACACGUGCUACAAUGGACAAUACAAAGGGCAGCGAAACCGCGAGGUCAAGCAAAUCCCAUAAAGUUGUUCUCAGUUCGGAUUGUAGUCUGCAACUCGACUACAUGAAGCUGGAAUCGCUAGUAAUCGUAGAUCAGCAUGCUACGGUGAAUACGUUCCCGGGUCUUGUACACACCGCCCGUCACACCACGAGAGUUUGUAACACCCGAAGCCGGUGGAGUAACCUUUUAGGAGCUAGCCGUCGAAGGUGGGACAAAUGAUUGGGGUGAAGUCGUAACAAGGUAGCCGUAUCGGAAGGUGCGGCUGGAUCACCUCCUUUCUA
rnacentral:rRNA from 1 species